rnacentral:rRNA from 1 species
UAAGCGGAGGAAAAGAAACUAACAAUGAUUCCCCCAGUAACUGCGAGUGAAGAGGGACAAGCUCAAAUUUUAAAUCUGUUGGGUUUACCUAACCGAGUUGUAAUUUGAAGAGGCGUUUUCUGUGUUUUUGAUCAGUCCAAGUCCUUUGGGAUAAGGCAUCAUGGAGGGUGAGAAUCCCGUCCGGUUGAUCAGAUUCGCUUUACGAUACGUCAUCUAAGAGUCAAGUUGUUUGGGAUUGCAGCUUAAAAUGGGAGGUAAAUUUCUCCUAAGGCUAAAUAACGGCGAGAGACCGAUAGCGAACAAGUACCGUGAGGGAAAGAUGAAAAGAACUUUGAAAAGAGAGUUAAAUAGUACGUGAAAUUGUUGAUAGGGAAACGAUUAAAGUCAGUCAUGCCGGUGGAAAAUCAGCUCAUGGGACUACUGUGAGUGCACUUUUUCGCAUGGCAGGUCAAUAUUAGUUUUGUUGGGACAUAAUUAUUGUAGAAAGGUGACUCCUUCGGGAGUGUUAUAGACUACUUUAGAUGGCCUGACAUAGACUAAGGAUUGCAGCGAAUGCCUUAGGCUACAGUUCUUUCUCUGUAAGUCGUUAAUUGGUUGUCAGCUUGCUGACUUCUAGUUAAUUGGCAGACAGUAAGGUAGAAAUUGAUAAAUUCGCUAAGGAUGUUGACGUAAUGGCUUUAAACGACCCGUCUUGAAACACGGACCAAGGAGUCUAACAUGUAUGCGAGUGUU